rnacentral:rRNA from 1 species
UACGUAGGUGGCAAGCGUUGUCCGGGUUUACUGGGCGUAAAGAGCGCGCAGGCGGUCGUUCAAGUCGCGUGUGAAAGCCCCGGCUCAACUGGGAGGGUCACGCGAUACUGAUCGACUCGAAGGCAGGAGAGGGAAGUGGAAUUCCCGGUGUAGUGGUGAAAUGCGUAGAUAUCGGGAGGAACACCAGUGGCGAAGGCGAACUUCCUGGCCUGUUCUUGACGCUGAGGCGCGAAAGCUA